CAGGAAAGAAUUCAUUUACGUGGUUUGGUCCAAGACCAAGGGUGAACAUUACGGACCCUGAAAAAAUAAGAGAAAUACUUAACAAAUUUAAUGACUUCCAGAAGAUACGUACCAAUCCUCUGCUUAAUUUGCUUGUAAGCGGCCUUGUUAACCUCGAAGGAGACCGAUGGAGCAAGCGUAGAAAAAUCAUAAACCCUGCAUUUCAUCAAGAUAAGUUGAAGGUAUAGAAUAGUGAUGGGUAAUCAGACUUUACAGAAAACAUCAUACUUAAACCAAUGCUUUUCUGAUUUAGAAAUAAUUGGAUGCAGAAUAUGUUGCCAGCAUUUUAUCAAAGUUGUAGUGACAUGUUAAGCAAAUGGGAGAAGAUGGUGUGUACAGAAGGAUACAGUGAGUUAGAUGUGAGGCCUUAUCUCGUAGAUUUGACAAGAGAUGUGAUUUCCCGAUCUGCUUUUGGAAGCAGCUUCGAAGAAGGCAAACGAAUUUUCCAAUUACUAGAGGACCAACUCGUUCUCACAAUCAAAUUAAUACAAACUGUUUACAUUCCAGGAUGGAGGUAACCGUCAACUUAAUUUACUUGAAAAAGGUUGCAAAUCUUGGAAUUGGCUAAAUUCGUGUUUGUUUUCUUGAAGGUUUUUGCCAACGAAGACAAACAGGGAGAUGAAGAUGAAACACAGAGACAUAAAAGAGUCGCUUAGGGAAAUGAUAAAGAGAAGGGAGAAGGCAAUUAAAGCAGGGGAAGAGAGCAAUGAGGACUUGUUGGACAUACUUGUGGAAUCCAAUAUCAGAGAAAUGGAAGCAAAGAAUAUGGGGAUGAGCAUUGAGGAUGUGAUUGAGGAAUGCAAGCUGUUUUACUUUGCUGGCCAAGAGACCACUUCGGUCUUACUGGUGUGGACUAUGGUUUUAUUAGCAAGGUAUCCCGAUUGGCAAAGUAAAGCAAGAGAGGAGGUUUUGCAUGUUUUGGGUGACAAUAAACCUGAUGCUGAUGGCCUUAAUCGUCUCAAAGUUGUAAGUCCCUAGCAUGUCUUUUGAAGGUCCGAUCAAUGAGGUCGACAACUCAAAAACUUUGUUUCUUUUUUCGCUAAUUCUACAGGUAACGAUGAUAUUGUACGAGGUUCUAAGGCUGUACCCACCGGUGGUUGAGCUAGGACGUUCCGUUCCAAAAGAAAUAAAACUGGGGAAUUUGUUGUUACCAGUAGGAACAGAAGUUUCGGUUCCGAUCCUGCAGAUCCACCAUGACAAAGAUCUUUGGGGUAACGACGCACGGGAAUUUAAGCCAGAGCGGUUCGCGGAAGGGGUUUCCAAAGCAACAAAGAGUCAAGUCACGUUUCUGCCAUUCGGAUGGGGUCCUAGGAUCUGUAUUGGCCAAAAUUUUGCUUUGAUGGAAGCCAAAAUGGCGAUGGCUAUGAUUCUCCAACGCUUCUGGUUCGAGCUUUCCCCUUCCUAUGCUCACUCUCCUUACAGCAGGGGAACUCUUCGUCCACAGCAUGGUGCACAGAUAAUUUUACAUAAACUUGGCUGUAAUUGAAUUGUUAUGUAAACAAAUCUUUGUGAAAACAUAGCGUUUUAGUGUAUCGUCAAAGUCCGGUGUCUGUAAUGGUACAAAUUCGAUGCAUGAAUAGUAAAUUUUGAGAUGUUUGGUGAAGUCCGAAAUAAUAUGCAGAAAUUGAGCGUCUAUGGUGGACAUAGUUGAGGGACUAAUGUGGUAAUUAUCAAUCAAAUAAUUCGGUACAAAGACUUGUAUGGAAAUUAAAGCAGGGGGAGUUGAAAAUGACUACUCUGCUUUGGGCAUCAAUUUAGAAAGAUUUAAAGUACAACUGUGUUAUCAGUUAAGGGAUUUGUUUUAAAGAGGGAAUGACAAUUAAACCUCAUGGUUUAUUUGUGCAAGGGAACCGAUGAUGGGAUGAUUAUUCUUAGUGGUAAAAAAAACCAUUAUGGAGGUUAUUACACUUGUUAUCAUCAGCUUAAAAUUCGAAUGGGUUCAAGUCGGAUUAUAUCGAGCUUGUAAGAUGAGUUCACGGACCAAGUUUGCAUAAUAAAAUACCUAAAUGAAAAAAAAUUCUAUUUUAGAGGGACGAGAGCCCCUAUCAACUCCCGGCUCAGCCACUAAACAAUACCUAUAUCAUAUAAAUAAAUACCACCAUCUAAAAGACUCAAAGAAAAACACUCAACAAAGGAUAAAUAGAUAGAUGUUGGAUAAGUGUCCAAAAUAUGAUUUAAGUGAAGAUACAUGUGGUAGGUGUUACGGAAAUGUGAAGACAAGAAUCCCACUAACGUAUGGGAUGUGUGCAGUUGAAUGUAGGGAGCAAAAAGAGGAGUGAAUCAUUUUGGUAACAUUUGGACAAGAAACAUAAUGAACAAAAUGGAAGGAGAGGAAGCUAGUAAAAGAAUUUUUUUGGGUCAUAUAAUUUGUUCAUUUUGGAGUUGAAUUAUAAUUUUUUUAUAUAUUAUUUUAAAAUUUUAAGGAGUUAAAACAAAAUUAUUUUAUUUUCAGAUGGUCAAAGUAGAGGUGAUAAUGGGUUGGGCUAUUCGGCCCGGCCUGACGAUUCACUCGAAAAAUAGGAGGGUUUAGGUAAAAAUAUAGGCUCGAAAUAGGGAUUUGAGCAAAAAAAGAGUCCCGUUUAGAAAAUGGGCCAGGCCUCGGGUAAAAUUUUUUGGGCCCAAGCCUGACCUGAAUUAUAUAUUAAAUAUAUUUUUUAAUUUUUAAUCAAAUAUACUUUUUUUUAUUAAUUUGGUUAUUAUUUUAGUUCUAAUUUGUUUCAAUUUUAAUAUAACCACUUUUUAUUAUAUUUUCAAUUUGUGUAUUGUUUUAAGAAUUGUUUUAGUCUCAUUUUUUUAUUUAUUUUUUGUUUUAAUAAUUGUUUUAAAAAUUUUUAUUUAAUGAAAUAAGCUAAAAAAAUUAAUAUGGGCUUGGCCAGGCCAGGCUCGGGCCUAGUAAUUUUCUUUUGGGCCGGACUUAGAUAAAAUUUUAAGCCCAUAUUUUAAAUUGGGUCCUAACCUAAAAAAUGAACCUAAAAUUUUAUAUGGGCCCGACUUGGCCCUUGAUUACCUUUAGGUCAGAGCUAUCCUCGUUUUGCAUUUCUUUGAGAUUCAGCCUUAUCUACUGUGAUUGCCCACUCAAUUGAGGGUUGAGUAGAAAGAUUUGGUGAAGCAAGCUAAGCUAUCAAUCAAGGUUUGCAUAAUUAUUUAAAUGUAAUUCUAAUAUUAAAAUAAUUUUUUUAUUAAUAUAGUAUCAACAAGCAUUAAAUGUAAUGAUCAUAUACUAUUACAUUUUAAAGAAGAGAAAACAUGUUUGAACUUUAAAAACCACGUUACUAAAAACAUUAUCACAAACCUUGAAAUAUAAAAAAUAAUUUUUUUAAUAUAAUAAAAAAUUAAUUUUAAACCCGAGCUGAAUAAAAUUCUAAUUUUAGUUAAUGAUACGAACAACAAAUCAAUAUUCUAAGCCCGAGCCCUGCUCAUUUUUUUAAUAAACACCAAAAAUUUAUUUUGAAAAUAAAAAAUAAAAAAAAUAUUUUAAAAAUAUUUUAAAAAUAAAAAAAAUUAAAAAUAAAUAUUUAUUAUAUAUUCAGGCCGGGCCGGGCUAGCCUUGGGCUAAAAAAAUGGUGCCCGAGGCCCGGCCCAUUUUCUAAAUAGGCCUCAUUUUUUGUCCAAACCCAUAUUUUGGGCCUAUAUUUUUACCCGAACCUCUCAUAUUUUGGGCGGACCGUCGGGCCGGACCGGGCCGCCCGGCCAUGAACACCUCUAGGGCAAAGUCACUCAAUGAAUGCAUGGAAAGAAAUAUUGCAACUUGGUGACAGCUUUUGUUGGAGUUAUAUGCUUUUUUUUACAUAGUGGAACUUUCGGUGGAUUUUCAAGUUUCAUGAACUUUAUACCCUAGGCUUUACGUGAAAAAAAUCAUUGGACUUAAAAGUCUACCAAAAGUUUCACUAUAAUAAAUAAAUAAAUAAAUAACAUUGCUACAAGACUACAACAUAAAGUUACAAUAAGAGCUUAUAACUCAACAAAGGCUAUCAAUAAAUAAUCUCAAGCAAGCUAAAGAGAAAUGUUGAGAGUACCACUCAAAUAGUGAUUGACUUUAAAAAUUGAAAACCCGAAGUUAUUGUUGACACCAUUUUUUGGAUGAAAAUGUGUCGACUUGGGUUUUGAAAAUGAAAACGAAAACGAGAGUCGCCACCAAUCCUUUUUGAUAAGGUGUGACUGGGUCACCUUGAAAAGUGGUUGUUUUUAAUAAACGAUUUGAUUUUAUUAAAACAACAGUUUUGGUCCACGAAAUUCAGAAAAAUGAGUUCGGGAGUCGGUUACGCACGAGGAAGGAUUAGCACCCUCGAUACGCCCAAAAUUGGUACCUAGUUGAUUACUUAAUGUCUUAAUGUCGAAAAUUGAAAACUUUGGAGAAUUUUAAACAUACGAUCCUUGUAUUAAAACGUUAAAAAUUUUCAAGAAAAUGGGAUAUUUCACGUUAUUCGAUAAAGAGAAUCAUAUCCUAGUAAGUUAGGACACAAUAUCUCGAAUUUCCGAUAUCAUUUAAAACUUGAGUUUGAAAAGAUUCGUGUAAUAAAGUUUAAAAUAAUAUUCAAUUGUUUAAAUCAAAUGAAGAAAUCGCAACCCAAUACGUUAGGGCACAAUUUCUCAAAAUAUUAAACAUUGAAUAUUGCAUUUAUUUCGAAAAAUCCUCAUCUCGAGAAAACGUGUCACAUCCAAUGCAUUAGAAUACAACGUAUUGAAUUCUCGAUAACGAGCUUUUUCUCAUUUUUUAAAAGAGUAAUCUCGAUUAUUUAGGUUCAACGAAGAAAAUCAAAACCCAAUACGUUAGGGCUCGAUUUUCUCAAAGAUUCCAAAUACCGAGUAUUACUUAUAUUUUUAAAAUUUCUUUUUUGAAAUCCGAGUAAAAAUGAAUGCAAAAUAAUAAAUGAUGACAAUGUAAAUAAAAUGAUACAAGCAAAACAAUAAACAAUAAAAAUAAUCAUACGGGCAAGGUAACAAAUAAUUAGGAACUAAAGAAAGAGAACAAACAAUAAUAAACAUGCAAAUAAAUGAACAAAAUUAACAACAUGAUGCAAAUAUGAAAGAUAUAUAAGCACAUAUAUAUACAUAAAAUAAUGAGAAUAUGAAAAAAUGUGUGUAAUUGGACAUGUUUCGGAAUUAUUAUACAUUUAAAAAUCAUGUAAAUGUGUGUACAUACAUAUAUACAUAUAUAAUAAUCAUUAAAUAUAUAAAAAUACAUAUGUGUAGGUAUAUAUGAGUCAUAAAAUGUAAAGAAUAUAUACAAGAUAUAUUUUGAACGUAUAAAGUAUAUGUAAAUGUAUAUAUAUAAUAAAGGUGUAUGAAAGCAUAUUUUAUAUACGUGUAUUUAUAAAAUGUAUAUAAAUGUAUAUUGAUUUACCAAUACAUAUGGAUUUAUAAUUAUAGAAUAUAUAUAAAAUAUUUACAUAUAUACGUUUAUGCAUAUAUAAAAGUAAGUUAUUAUAAAAUAUGAGCAAGCAGAAUACAUAAAUAUAUAUACAUAAAAUAAAAAUGAAGAUGAAAAUAAUAUAAAACUACUUAAUAUAUUAAUAUAAUAGUAACAAAUUAAAAAAACAGAAAAUAAAGCUAAUAAUAAUUAAUAAUAGUAGUAAUAAUUAUAGCAGCAAUGAUAAUGAUAAUAAUAAUAACACUAAAAAAAUUAAUUAAAUAAUAAAAUUGCUAAAAAGGGAUUAAAUCGAAAUAAAAACAUAAAUACUGGGCGAUUUUGAAAUAAAAAACGGGAAGGACCGAAUUGCAACGCGCGUUGAAAAGGAAAGGGCCAAAACUGCAAAUAAACCACAGCCCCAAAACGCAGCGUUGAAAUGGACCAAGUCGAAAUAAAAAUAAAAUUGCAGGGGCUAAAUUAAAAAUAAGAGAAAAUAACGAAAAAUGAUCAAAUUGUAAUACGCUGCAAAAUCAGGGGGACUGCACGCGCAAAUAGCCCAAAAACUGAAAACACGCGGAUCCUCCGGGUCGGGUCGGGUCGGGUCAGGUCGACGUGCGGAUCCCCUUUGCUAAAACGGCGUCGUUUCAUGUUUAAUAUAAAUACUAAAAAAAGCUAAAAAAAACAGUUUCAUCUUUUUUUAAAAAAAACAGAGAGAAAACUCUCUCUUUUUCCCUCAGGUCCGGCCAUGGUCCGGCUUGGGAUUUCCGACGAGUCUCCGCCGCAAAGCCACCGUGUGUGGCGGCCGGAGGUUCAAAAUCAGACCUUUUUGGUCCUUUUUUAAAGUCCAUGGCCUCCAAGCCACAGAUCCGGGGCUGAAUCUCCUGAAUCGAAAGCCGAAGACCCAAAAAAUGGGGUGAAAUCCUUCGCCUUCCUCCCCCUUCCGGCGCUGCGCAGGUAAGGUUUUUUUUAACUCCUUUUUUACUAUCUUUAUUUAUAUAUAUACAUGAAGAGAAAAGAGAGCAAAAUAAAUAAAUAAAUAAAAACUUCAAAACUGAAGAGAAAAAGACCUUGAAUCUGCCUUAUUUAUUUUCUUUCGGUUGAAUCUGUUUUUGUUUGUUACAAAAGUUUCCAGGGAAGAGAAAAAAAAAGAGAGUUACAUGCUUGGCUUUUAUAGCCGAUAUUAAUUUCUAUUUUUUGUUUUCUUUUUCCUUUCUUUUCUUUGGCUGUUGCGUGUUUGCUUCCUUAUUGCAGGGUGAUUGACGGGAGUGGUUGGCGACAGAGUCGGUGGCCACUUGCACUGAUGAAGCAGCGGUGGCGGCGCUAGGGUAGGCUAGGGACGGCGGCAGUACUAGGGUUUCAGAAAACUGAAACCCUAGUUUGACAAAUUGGUUUCGGGCCUGUUGGGCUUUAAAUUAUGGGCUUUGUAAUUGGGUUUUGGGUUUAGGUGAUUUGGGUUUAGGUGGUAUGGGCCCGGGUCAAAUUUUGGGUAAUGGGAUUGGGGCAAAAUUGGGUUGUACAGUUAUAAUAUCCCAAACGAAAUCAAACUAUAAACAUUAAAUUUUUCGAGUCUUCUAGAUACUGUAAAAAAUUCAGCUCCAACGGACACCAAAUGAACCUAUGAUCGAAGAAAAUACGAAGACUAGUCUGGCUAAAUCAAUCUGCCAAACUUACUUUUUAUCUUAUCUUUAAUUUGCUGUGAAAUUCAAAACUACGUGUAAUACUCAAUUUAUGCUCGACCCAUUUUGUUAAAACAAAUAAAAAAGAAAAGAAAAACAAAAUAUUUAAAUUUAGCCCAAAUGUCCAUUUACACAGCCCAAUUACAAUUGCAAAUAAAAAAAACUAAAACUAAACCCGAUCCUAAGCAUCAGCCCAAAUUCGACCCAUGCCCAAAACGAAUUCAGAUGCAGAAACCCUAGCCCAGCCUUAAUGCAAGCAAAAGUCGAAAGCCCUAAUAGUUGGUGCGCCGCUCCUGUAACAGCCCGAUUUUGGGCCUAGUCGGAACAGUGGUUUUGGGACCACAAAUCCGACGAGAAAAAAAUGUAAUGGCCCGAAUUUUCAGAGGUGUCAGAACGGUGAUUCGAGAUCACUAAAUUCGACAAAUGGGUAGAAAAUAUUAUUAAUUUAGUAAGUAUAAGUUAAAUGUGAAGUUAGGAAAAUUUUUGAAAUGGUGAAUAGUACACUAGAAAUAAAUAUUAAAAUAAUUAGAAUCGAAAAUGAGGUAUCGAGACCUCGGGGAUUUUAAACCGAGCCAUAAAUAUUUUUAUAAAUAUUUAUGUAGUCUUAAAAAGUUAGUAUUAAAGUUUCGUUAAGAAAUUUUAAAGUUCCGAUAAUUAAUUGAACAAAAAGGACUAAAUUGUAACAAAUACAAAAUUAUGAGAAAUGAUUAAAUAGUUUAAAUGAUAAAAGGAAGAGGGCUUAAAAGGUAAAUAGACCCAAGGUCUAUUUGGGCUGCACGGCAAAGGCAUGAAAUCAGCAACAAAGUAAGGAGAAUUAAGGGCAAAAUUGGAAUAUUGCAAAAUUUACUUAAUAAAGUUAGGACCAAAGUGGAAUUAUCUAGAUUUCUCUUUAUUUUUCUGCAUUAUCAUCAGCAUAAACACCAUAGAAGGGUUUUCUUAAGCUGGUUCUUCCUAUUUUUACUGCAGGUAAGUUCAAUUCUUGAUUAUUUCUUGAAAAUUUUGUGUUUUUGUGACUUUUACAACUAGGCCCACUUAUUGUAUUCAUUAGUUUUUGAUUCUAUGAAAGAAGUUGAAAGUUGCUAUGAAUACAUGCUGGAAGUAUAUGAUGAUUUAGCAUGGAAUUAGAGCUUUAAAUUGUUCAUAUGCUGAUUUAUUGAAAGAAUUGAAUAGAAAGUGAAUGUUUGGGACCUAAUAGUAAAAGAGUUUGAAGAUAGAGUUAUAUGUGGAAAUUCUGAAUUUCAAUAGUUGUGAAACAACUUAUAAUGUCUAGGUUAAGUAUUAAUUGAGAAAAUUAAAUUAAUUGAGGGGUUAAUUGAGAAAGGACCGAAUUGUAUAAACUGUGAAAUUUGGGGCAAAAAGGAAAUCAACAUUUUACACUAAAGCAGUUUUGGACAGCAGCAGUAGUAUAACUUUGAAAAAUCACCAAAAAUUUUGAGAAUUGAAUUAGAGGGUGAAUAAAAUAUAAAAUUAAAGCUCCUUGAAUCUAGUUUCUCAUAGAAGAAACGGUGUAAGCAAUGGAAUUGUAAAUCAUGAGAUAUAAUAAAUUUUGUGAGACAAUGUCAUAAUGAUUUCGGGUUCCCCUAUUCUGACUUUGGAAAAUCAUCAAAAAAUUAAGAAAAAUAUGAGUUAUAAUUUAUAUGAUUACAAUCCUUAAUGAGUCUAUUUUCAAAGAAAAUAAACGGAAAUAUCAUCCAAAUUCUGUACAAUUAUAUAAUUCAUUUUUAGUGAAGAGUGGUCGAAACUGUCAGACAGCGAAAUAGGGGGAACUUUAAAGAAUAAACUGUACUAUUUGGCUGAACCAAAAAUUCUGAAAAUUUUAUGGUAAGAAGGUAUGUGAGUCUAGUUUUAAGGAAAAUUAACGGAUCUUAAUUUAGAGCUCUGUAGCUCUAGAUAAAAAUAAUUUAGUGACUCUGACUCAGAUAAAUAGCUUUGAAUGUACAUGUGAGUGAAUAGUGAAAUUAUAGCUAGUGUUGUUUAAGUGUGUUAUACACAUUAAGGAUAUGGAAUGGAGAGGAGGAGGAGGAGGAAAAAUUGGGAAAUAUAUGAAUGAUUUGUGUAUAAUUGGUCAUAUGCUUAAUUAUAAUUGAUAAACGAUGAAAUAGAAAUGAUGCAUAUAUUUGUGCAGUAUUGGUCAUGGUUUAAGCUCAUGUGGGAAAAUAAAGUUUAUAGUACGUGUGUAUUAUAUUUUUGGUAUAUGAUUUGGCAUUAAGUAAUGUCGUGAAUGGAUAUUGAAUUAACACAUGUUGGAAAGUUUGAUAUAUGAAUAAAUAUUGUGAUCAUGAAAGAGUGUUACAGCUCCUGCCUUCAGCACGCGUCGAGCCUCCGCGCCAAAUCCACGUGAGCCUCCGUACACUCCAACUAGCCUCCGUACCUGCAACAAACAAAAGUAGACAAAACAACAGCAAAGGAUAGGAAGAAAAGGCAGUAAAUAGUGAAGAUUUUUCUGUAAUUUUCUUUGGAUUUCAUUAUGUAUUUUCGGCUAUAAAAGAGCCAUUAGGAAUAUUUGUAAAGGGUUUUUUUUUUACCCUCACACACAAAGAGAAUAUACACGCAUACAAGAUCAAUAUAGAGAAAGAAAUAAAAAUAAAUAAAUACAAAGAAUAGAAAAUCAAGUUUCGAAGGUGAUUCUUUGAAAAAUCCUUUUCGUUUUUCUCAUUUUUCCUUUUUCCUGGAUCUUUUGUUCAUUUCAAGUAAAAAAAGUAUAGAAAGGAAACAAGUUUAGAGGAAGGAGGUUUACCUGGACGCCGGACCUCGCUCGCCUCGUCGAAAUCGAAGGCUGAGAGGGGAUAAAUCGGUUUUGCGGCAGAAGGAAAGGGGGGCUAGGGUUCUUGUUUUAACUUUUUUAAAAAAAAUAGAAAAGGUUGCUAAUUAGGUUUUAAUGGGGGAUUUAUGUGUGUUAAAAAAACGACGUCGUUUAGCGACCUUUGACCCGUGCGGUGACCCGACCCGAGGAAAGGAUCUGCGCGUUUUGGGUCUGAUGGGUUUAUUGCGCAACAAGCCCUUCCGCAUUUGUUUUUCGUUUCAAUUCGGUUUUUAUUUGUUUUUUAAUUGUUUUCUCAUAUUUAGUUCCAAUUUCAAUUGGGUCCAUGAUUAAACGACAUCGUUUUCAUUGAUUGGGUUUGAAGGCCUGGUUUUGUGCGUCUAAAUUGCAGCAAUGGUCCCCCUGAUGUGCAAUAGUUCUCGAUUUAGUCGUCUCCACACUUAUUUCAAAGUCGUCCUUGAGAUUUUGUUUUAUUUUUGAAAUUGUCCUUGUCUUCUUUUAAUUUAUAAUGAUAUUAUUAUUAUUGUUGUUGUUAUUAUUACUAUUAAUAUGGGUAUUGUUAUCAUGUUAGUUUAUAUCUAUUUAUUUACUUUUAUUUUAUUAUGUAUUAUUAUAUAAUGCUUUUAUCAUGUAUCAUUUUAUAUAUUUUCUAUGUUAAUCUAAUAUGAUAUAUAUAUAUAUAUGUAUUUUUGUGAUCUUAUUUUAUAAUACUUUUUUAACCCAUUUAUAUGCCUUUAUGUUUUAAAGAUUUAUAAUAUUUUGUGCAAAACUAUUAUAUAUAUAUAUAGAUAUACAAUUUAUAUUAGACCAUUUUUAUCGUACAUAUACGUAUAUAUAAUUUAUAUUUUGAAACUCUAUUUUAUUAUAUUUUAUGCCUCUAUAUACAUCAUUAUAUGUUUAUUAUUCUUUAUAUUAAACCUGCCAUUUCACUUAUAUAUUUUUAAAACCAAUGUGUAUUAUUCUUUCUUCUUUGUUAUUUUUUAUCUCUUAAAAUAGAUUGAUAAUUCAUUUAAUUUUUGAAUGUUGUAUGACCGAGAUUAUCGUUGCCAUUCUUGUCCAAAUUUAUCCAUUGCUUGUUCAUAUUAUUUGAUAAUUUAUCGCUCACUAGCAUGUAUCGUAAUUUACGAAUUAUCAUUUUGAAUUAUGUACUACCAUUCAAUCGCAUUACAUUUGUUUGGAAAACAUCGAAAUCGUUUUGCACAUAAACCUUCAAAAUGCUUGGUAUCCAAAAUUCUCGAGAGGAUUGUGCCCUAAUUUAUUGGGCUUCAAUUCCCCUUUUUGAUUUUAAAUAACCGAAUACCCCUUUUUCAAUUUGAACAUAGAAAUUCCAAAAUAAAAAAAAACUCAUUCUCGGGAAUUUGAUGCGUUGUGUCCUAACGUAUUGUAUAUGACAUAUUUUUCUCGAGACGAGGAUUUUUCUAACAAAUAAAAAUAAAGGCAAUAUUCGAUAUUUAGGAAUUUUGUGAAAUCGAACCCUAACUUACUGGGUUUUGAUUUUUUCAUUUGACCCAAGUAGGAUAUCCUUCACAAAUGCACAGAUUUUAAAAAAUCAAAAGAUAAACUUAAUUUCGAGGAUUUAAAAUGUUACACUCUGACUUACUGAGUGUGUCAAUUUAUUUCUUUGAAAUAAGUGAGUCUUAUCAUCCAAUUUAUUUUAUUCAAAUUUUCUUUUCCAAGGAUCGUAUUUUAAAAUUUUUUCAAAAUUUCGACAUUAAGACAUUAAGCAAUCAAUUCAGUACCAAUUUUGGGCGUCACGAGGGUGCUAACUCUUCCUCGUGCGUAAUCGACUCCCGAACCAGUUUUCUCAAAAUUCACAGACCUAAAAUUAUUUUCAAGGUGAUCCGAUCACACCACAAUAAAAGAUCAGUGGUGACUCCCAUUCCUAUUUUUAAAAGUCGAUUCCUGUUUUUCAUAUAUAAAAAAAUGGUUUCGACACUACGGUUUUGUUUGUUUCCCUUAGAACAACUUUCAAAAAGUUAAUUUUGAAAAAUGGAUUGAAUUUUCAAAAUAGAUGAUAUUUUUUUGUGUUAAAAUUUUAUUCGUUGUUUGAAAAAAAAAUUUAAAUCAUUUUCUUAGAAUUAUUUUUAGUGAAACAAAUAUAUCAUAAAUAUAUUUGUUAUAAAAUAUUAUAUUAAUAUUUUCUUUUAACAAUUAAAAUAUAUUUUGUGAUAAGGUAAUAUUUUAUAAUAAUUAAUAUCAUAUAUACUUAAUAAUAAAUCAUGUCUAAUUAAAAUUUAAUUUCAAUUAAAUAUAUUAAUAAAGCUACAUUUAAUCAUAUUUUAUAUAAUUAAAAUAUUAAUAUAAAUAUUUUUCAAUAAUAUAUUAAAGAAUAUUUAAAAUUUAAAUUUAUUAUUACUAAGAUUAAUUAUUAAAACAAAAAUGUAAUAUUAAAUAAUUUAUCCAAUGAUAAGUUAUAUUAAUAAUUUAUUAUAUUAUUAAAUAUAAAUAAUUAAAUAUGUAUGUUUAAUAAUAUUAUGUUAUAAUAUUUAUUACUAAUAUUUUAAUAUUUUUAAACAACCAUGUUUUAAAGAUGGUGGUGAUGGUGAUGGUGCAGGCCCCCUUGUUAAAAUUACAAUAUUUUUAAGUGGGAUGCAUGUAAUAUAUUGUUAGGGUUUUAGAGUAUGUGGUCUUUAAAAGGGUUAAAUUAUAUAUUUAUAUAAUAUGAUUAUUGUUUAUAAACAUAAUAUUGUAGAUAAGUUUAUAUGUAUGUCAAUAUGUAUCCUACUCUAAGGUUAAUAUGUAUUUUUUAGAUGUGGGUUUACCUAUAUAAUAGUAUGAAUCCAUCAUGUGGUCUCAUGAAAUAUACAAACACAUAUCGUGCGAACACAAAGUACGAACAAUAAAAAAUACAAAUCAAGACCCAAUUGAAUAAUUGAAUAACGGAUAGGUAAUAAUGAAUAUCAUAACAUUUACUAUCCCCUCUUUUCUAGUGAGUUAUUGUUUAUGAUAAAUUUGCAACAAAUGUUUUUAUCAUUAUUUUGUUGGUAAAUGAUAAUAAGAUUAAACAUUACUUUCUUAAGCUCCUUCAAUUCUUUGGACGUUAGCGAGUAAACUUGAGCUUCAGCAUUCCACAAACACCUUAAUUUGAAGACACAGUUCUCUCAUACUAAAAACGACAUGGACGUUUACCUUGUAAUUAGAGAUUUGGGCUCAUUGUUGGGUUAUUAAUGAUACGGGGAUGGAGAGCUUUAAACUGGGUAUGGUUGGCCCCAAAGAGGCUCGAAACGUGCUUGAGACUAGAGGUGAUCAAGGGCCGGGUUAGGCCCAGUCUAGAAAAAAAAUUAGGCCCAUUUUUUAGAUUUGAACUCGGCUCGGCUCAAAAUAUAAGCUUAAAAAUUUGUCUAAGUUCAGUCCGAAAGAAAAUUGUUAAGCCCAAGCUCGACCCAUAUUAAAUUUUACAACACCAAAAAAGUAUAUUUAAAUAAAAAUAAAAUAUAUAUAUUUAAUAUAUAAUUCGGGCCGAGCUGAACUCGGGCCAAAAAAGUUUUACUCGGGGCUGGUCCGUUUUCUAAACAGACUUCGUUUUUUUUGCCAAAAUCCAUAUUUUUACCCGAAUCUUCCUAUUUUUUGGGGUGUGCCGUCGGGCCGAACUGGGUAACCGAACCAAUGAUCACCUCUGUAAUCACUGAAUUUUGUCCGGGAAUAACUUUCGUUAAAAAAAUUUUAAAAUUAAAAAAAAAUUAACUUUUUUGCUUUUUGACCCCUAAACUUUUCUAAAAUUUCAUUUUAACCCCUAAACUUUCUCAAAAUUACAGUUCAACCCCUAAACUUUUCUAAAUUACAUUUUGACCCCUAAAAUUUCUUAAAAUUACAUUUGGACCCUUACACUUUCUCAAAAUUACGUUUCGGCCCCAAAAUUUUUGCUACAUUUACAAAUUGGUCCUUCUGUCAGAAAAUCCCCAAUAAUCCGGCGGAUUUCGUGCACCUGCCCCACUAUUUCCGGCAGCCGGCCUAGGGCAUGGCCUUCCCCACCUGCUACCUGCAAACAAGAAGCAAAAUCAACUAUAAAAAGGAGUUUAAACUCCAAAAAUCGGACCCCCACCCACGAAAAAAAUAAAAAAAAAAAACUUGAAAGAAAAAGAAAAAAGCUUUGAGAAAGAAAAAGAAAAGGAAAAGAAGAGAGGGGAGAAGGAGAGGCCGACCAUCGGCGAGCCACCGGAGGAGGCGACGGCAGCAGCGGCAUCGACGGCGGCGUAGAAGACCGAACGGAGAAGAAGAAGAAGAAGAAAAAAAAAGAAAGAAGAGAAAGAAAGAAGGAAGAAGAAGAAGAAAGAAACAAAAAAAAAAGAAAAUAUUUUGUAAUAGUCGGCCCGGCCCGACUCGACCUGCACGACCCGUGACCCGACCCGACAGCACCAGCAACCUAGCAGGCCACGGUAGCAGCCCGGCGGCCCAAAGAGUAGCCCAAAAAGAAAAAAAGAAGAAGAACAAAGCAAAAAAAAAAAGCAGGCCAUUUUCAGCAGGCCCAGUGCAGCCCAGCAGACCCAGCGAACCCAGCAGGCCAGGCCCACACGCAAGCAGCCCAACAGAAAAAAAGGGAAAGAAAAAGAAAAGAAAAAAGAAAAAAGAAAAAAGAAGAAGAAGGGGUUCAAUUUGUAUUAUCCGUUCGGCGAAGCUCGUGUUUUGAGGAUUUUUUUUCGGUAAUUUUAUUUUUUAAUUUUAAUUUAAUGCUCGUAUUUUUUUUAAAUAUUAUUAGUAUUUUAUGCAUUUUUAUAUUUUGGCAUUUAUAUUUUUAAUUUAAUUUACUUCAAUUUUUAUUUUAUUUUAUUUUAAAUAAUUUUAAUAAAUGAGGCAACGAAUCGAUUUAACAUAAAAUCGUUGAUUUCAUUGCUAUGUUGGGUGAAUAUCAUCGGUUUGUGUUAAACACGAUACACCCUUUUUAAAAAAAAGAAAAAAAUCGAAAAAAUUCUAAAAUUCUCAUUUUUUUAAAAUUCUCGUGUUUUAAUAGAAUCACGAUUAAAUAUUAAGUUGAAUCGAUUUGGCACUAAUUCGAUGAUUUCAUCUCCAUGUAGGGAUGAAUAUCAUUUAUUCGUGUUAAAUAUGGUACUUCUGAAAAAAAAUCGGGUUUCAAAAAUUUUCGUGUUUUCAAAAAUUCUCAUGUUUCAAAAAUCUUCGUGUUUUAAAAAUUCCAGUGUUUCAAAAAUUUUCGUGUUUUCAAAAAAAAAUUUCUCGUGUUUUUAAAAAUUCCCGUAUAUCGAAAUUUUCUUGUUUUCAAAAAAAAAAUUCCAUGUUUCAUAAAUUUCCGUGUUUUCAAAAAAAAAUUCUUGUUUUUCAAAAAUUUUCGUUUUUAAAAAAUUUGACCGUGUUUCAUAAAUUUUCGUAUUUCAAAAAAACCUCGUGUUUCAAAAUUUUCGGGUUUUUUUAAAAACAAUUCGUGUUUCUAAAAUUCUCGUAUUUUAAAAAAAAUCGUGUUUUCAAAAAAAGAAAAAGUUGUUGUGCUUUAAAAUUAUCGUGUUUCAAUCGGAUCACGAUUAAUAUUAAAUUGAACUCGUAUUUUUGAAAAUGAAAACAACGCGCGUUUAACGAGAUACCAAUUUUGGGCGUCGCGAGGGUGCUAAUACCUUCCUCGCGCGUAACCGACUCCCGAACCUUAAUUUUCUCUGAAUUUUUACGUGGACCUAAAAUUACCUCUUUUUAGAAAAGUUUAAAAAUGAAUUUUUCUUCUAAAAAGAGAAUUUUGUAGGUGUCCGAUCACACCUAAAAAAAGAUCGGUGGCGACUCCUUUUUUUCAAAUAAAAUCGAGAUUCAGUUUUCAAGUUUUUAAUAAUUACUUCGACAAGCGCCCGUGCGCAAAAUUUUUAAGUCGCUACAGCCUCUACUUGAGACAACAGGGUUUUGCAGGGAAUUCUUACAGGUUCGUUUCUGGCGACAAAAAAGAGCUCUUCACUAUAAGCAUACAAACAAGAGCCAAAACUAUGCCUCUUAGUGAUGAUAUUAGGCCUUAUGUUAUUCCUUUUCAACAUCAAACCGUCAACCGGUAUGGUAUGUUUUUUUUAUUUAAUCUGCAAUUUGUGAUAAUUCUUUGUUAUUUAUGUAUGGAAUUUAUUGGGAGGAAAUGCUGGAAAGAAUUCAUUUACGAGAAUUGGUCCAAGAUCAAGGGUGAACAUUACGGACCCUGAAAAAUAAGAGAAAUACUUAACAAAUUUAAUGACUUCCAGAAGAUACGUACCAAUCCACUGCUUAAUUUGCUUGUAAGCGGCCUUGUUAACCUCGAAGGAGACCGAUGGAGCAAGCAUAGAAAAAUCAUAACCCUUGCAUUUCAUCAAGAUAAGUUGAAGGUAUAGAAUAGUAAUGGGUACUCAAGACUUUAAAGAAAACAUCAUACUUAAGCCUAUGCUUUUCUGAUUUAGAAAUAAUUGGAUGCAGAAUAUGUUGCCAGCAUUUUAUCAAAGUUGUAGUGACAUGUUUAAGCAAAUGGGAGAAGAUGGUGUGUACAGAAGGAUACAUUGAGUUAGAUGUGUCGCCUUAUCUCGUAGAUUUGACAAGAGAUGUUAUUUCCCGAUCUGCUUUUGGAAGCAGCUUCGAAGAAGGCAAACGAAUUUUCCAAUUACUAGAGGACCAACUCGUUCUCACAAUCAAAUUAAUACAAACUGUUUACAUUCCAGGAUGGAGGUAACCGUCUACUUUAAUUUACUUGAAAAAGGUUGCAAAUGUUGGAAUUGGCUAAAUUCGUGUUUGUUUUCUUGAAGGUUUUUGCCCACAAAGACAAACAGGGAGGUGAAGAUGAAACACAAAGACAUAAAAGAGUCGCUCAGGGAAAUGAUAAAAAGAAGAAAGCAGGCAAUUAAAGCAGGGGAAGAGAGUAAUGAGGACUUGUUGGACAUACUUGUGGAAUCCAAUAUCAGAGAAAUGGAAGCAAAGAAUAUGGGGAUGAGCAUUGAGGAUGUGAUUGAGGAAUGCAAGCUGUUUUACUUAGCUGGCCAGGAGACCACUUCGGUCUUACUGGUGUGGACUAUGGUUUUAUUAGCAAGGUAUCCCGAUUGGCAAAGUAAAGCAAGAGAGGAGGUUUUGCAUGUUUUGGGUGACAGUAAACCUGAUGCUGAUGGCCUUAAUCGUCUCAAAGUUGUAAGUCCCUAGCAUGUCUCUUGAAGGCCCGAUCUCUGAGGUCGACAACUCAAAAACUUGGUUCUUUGUUUCGCUAAUUCUACAGUUAACAAUGAUAUUGUACGAGGUUCUAAGGCUGUACCCACCAGUGAUUGAGCUAGGACGUUCCGUUCCAAAAGAAAUAAAACUGGGAAAUUUGUUGUUACCAGCAGGAACAGACGUUUCGGUUCCAAUCCUGCAGAUCCACCAUGACAAAGAUCUUUGGGGCGACGCCGCACGGGAAUUUAAGCCACAGCGGUUCACGGAAGGGGUUUCCUAAGCAACAAAGAGUCAAGUCACGUUUCUGCCAUUCGGAUGGGGUCCUAGGAUCUGCAUUGGCCAAAACUUUGCCAUGAUGGAAGCUAAAAUGGCGAUGGCUAUGAUUCUCCAACGCUUCUGGUUUGAGCUUUCCCCUUCCUAUGCUUACUCUCCUUACAACAUGGCAACUCUUCGUCCACAGCAUGGUGCACAGAUAAUUUUACAUAAACUUGGCUGUAAUUGAAUUGUUAUGUAAGCAAAUCUUUGUGAAAAUAUAGUGUUUUAGUGUAUCGUCAACGUCUGUCUGUAAUGGUACAAUUCCGAUGCAUGAAUAGUAAAUUUUGAGAUGUUUGGUGAAGUCCGAAAUAAUAUGCAGAAAUUGAGUGUCUAUGGUGGACAUAGUUGAGGGACUAAUGUGGUAAUUAUCAAUCAAAUAAUUCGGUACAAAGACUUAUAUGGAAAUUAAAGCAGGGGGAGUUGAAAAUGACUACUCUGCUUUGGGCAUCAAUUUAGAAAGAUUUAAAGUACAAAUGUGUUAUUAGUUAAGGGAUUUGUUUUAAAGAGGGAAUGACAAUUAAACCUCAUGGUUGAUUUGUGGAAGGGAACCAAUGAUGGGAUGAUUACUCUUAGUGGUGAAAAAAAAACUAUUAAGGUGGUUAUUAUAGUUGUUAUCACCAGCCUAAAAUUUGAAUAGGUUCAGGUCGGAUUAUAUUGAGCUUGCAAGAUUAGUUCACGGACCAAACUUGCAUGAUAAUAGGUAUUCACAACAAGAUAUCUAUAGUUUCCAACAAAGUCACAUGUGAGAUCGUGCAUUAGAACCGCAUAAACAUGUUUUAUGUUUAGAAUAUGAUAUGUGUCUAUGUGUAUAGAAUCUACCUAAUAUAUCAUAUUAAUGAAUAGUAUCAAUUGCGGAGCCAAAAAAUUAUUUGUGAGGGGUCAGAAUUAAAUUGUAUAUUUUUACAAAAAUAAAAAUUAAAUUUCACUAUUUUAAUAGUUUAUUUAUUUUUAAUUUUUAAAUGAUUAAAUUAAAUUUUAUAAAUUUUUAGGAUCAAAGUAUAAUUUUAUCAUUACUAAUUUAAAAUUUUAUAAAUUAUAAAAAGUUUAUAUGAAAAGUUUUCUAUUUUAGGGUGGCCAAAGCCCCUGUCAACUUCUGACUCGAUCACUUGCGGUUAGUUGGGUAAAGACUCAAGAAAAAUAGCGGUGUGUUUGGAUGGACGGUGCGUUUACUUGCGGUUAGUGUAAAAAUAGCGGUGGCGGUGAGAUUAGAUACUAUAGCAACACUGUAGCGUGAGACAAAAAGUAAGUUAAACGCACUGCACUGCACUUAAUCGUCUAUCUAAACUCACCAUAAGUGUCUAAAAUAUGAUUUAAGUGAAGAUACGUGGGGUAGGUGUCAUGGAAAUGUAAAAAAAAAAAAGAAUCCUACUAAUGUAUGGGAUGUGUACAAUUGAAUGCAGGAGUGAAUCAUUUGGGUAACAUUUGGACAAGAAACAUAAUGAACAAAAUGAAAGGAGAGGAAGCUAGUAAUAAAAGAUUCUUUUGGGUUAUAUAAUUUGUUUGGCAUAUAUUUUUAUAAUAUUUAAAUAUCAUUUUGGAGUUGUUGAAUUAUAAUUUAUUUUUAUGUUUUAAAACAUAAUUAUUCUAUUUUUAGAGGUCAGAGUAGAGGUGAGCAUGAGUCGGGCUACUCGGCUCGGGCUGAAGGCUUGCGCAAAAUGUGAGAGAUUUGGGUAAAAAUAUAGGCCCGAAAAAUGAGUUUAGACAAAAAAAAAUAUAAGGCCCGUUGAAAAAACAGGCUAGGCCUUGGGUAAGGCAUUUUGGCCCCAGACCCGGCCCAACCCAAAUUCACUAAGGGCACGUUUGGUUCGCUGUAUUGGAAUAGAGGCGUAAUGUAAUAGAGGCGUAAUGGAAUAGAGACGUAAUAGCAAAUCAAUUGUUUGGUUGAAUGUAAUGGAAUAGAGGCGUAAUAGUAUUCUUAUAUUUGGUUGAAUGGAAUAGAGUUGUAAUAGCAUAAGGAAAAAAGUUAAAAUGACUAGAAUACCCUUAGCAGAAAUUUGUUUAGAUAAAUGAUUAUUGUUAUUGUUAUUAAAUUUUAAUAAGAUUAUUAAUAUCAGUAAUAAAUAAUUUAAUCAUAUUUUAACAUAAUUAUUAUUAAAUAUAAUUUAAUAAAAAUAUAUAAUUUAAUAAAAUUCUUAAUAUUAAAUAUUCUUAAUAUUAAAUUACUAAAAUCAUAAUAUAUAAUACUAUAAAAUAUAAUUUAACAUAAUUAUUAUUAAAUAUAAUUUAAUAAAAUUCUCAAUAUUAAAUAUAUUCUUAUAUGAAUUUACUAAAAUCAUAAUAUAUAAUACUAUAAAAUAUAAUUUAAAAUAAUUAUUAUUAAAUAUAAUUUAAUAAAAAUAUAUAAUUUAAUCUAAAGUUUGAAUGUGUAUUUACCUAGCAAAAAUCAAUGAACUCUCGUGUAACUAUAACCUUAAUAAUAUAUGAUGUAUAAUUAAUAUUUCGUGACUAAUUAAUAGCAUAGAGAUAAAUAUAGUAAUGACGAAUUUAUAGUAUACGAUUAAAAUGCUAAUAAUUUAUAGUAUACAAUUAAAAUAUUAUAAAUAAAAUAAUAGUAAAUGAUAUAUAAGAUAAAUUAACAUAUAAAUAAUUCAGAUAUGUAAAGGAUAUGGCUGAAUAUGGUUGCUCCAAUAAUAAAGGAUAUAUAAUAUAUCAUGGUGUUGUUUUGUUUAGAUAGUUCGGUAACUUAGGAGGGUAUGUAUGAAGAACACAAGUUGAUGCAGAUAGAAAGACGACAAUAUUACAUGAUUACAAUAUGAUAUAGUAUAUAUAUAUAAUUUAUGGAUUCCUUGCAAUCACGUGGGUUCUCUAGCCAUUUUAUUUAGCAUAUCCAGUGAUAUUAAGAUCCAGAAUUAUAAUACAACUAAAAUCUGUGCACACUUAUGGAUGAUCCAACAAAGCCUCAGUUGGCUUUAGGUUCCAAAUCUUGCAACCCACAAACCAUAUUUGCUGGCACUGCAACAUCAAUCAUCUUAGGAUAUGCCAAGUUAAGAUCUGUUGCACCAACAAAAACAGAGGAGAAAUUGGAAGGCGAUCCGAAAAAACCCAAGGAUGCUUUUUCUUUUCUUUUUUUUUUAUAAUCUUUAUAGACUGGUUAUAUUGAGCAUCAACUUACUUUCCAUGAUGUUUUUGAAAGUCUCUUACAAAAAGGGUAUUCAACAAAUAAUAUAAUCAGACAUAUUGAUAGGACAAAUUGAAACUAGUAUUCUAUGAUCAUAAUAAAGAGUAAUCUUUAAUCAAAUGCGUGAAGGUAUUGAGAUGUCAUGCUUUUUCAUGAUUUCCUGUUUUACCAUGGCGAUGUUCAUUGGAAUAGUCCCAUCCAAGAGAAUCAAACCAAUGCUCAGCAAGAAAUGUUCAAUGCAUAUGUAAUUUUAAUUACAGAAGUUAUAUGCAGCUUAUAUGAGUUCAAGAUCAUAAAAUACUUCAUGGACAAAAGGAAACCCUUUCUUAUCACUGAAAUGAAAAUAGGCACUCUUAAUUUUCUAUUGUCAAAAGUAGCAAGCCAUUUUCCAAAGAAAAGGGAAGAUGGAUGGUUCCAGAAAGAAUACCUCAUCCUUUGUCAAGUGUGGAUUAUAUAGCAUCUCCUCUCCCACAGUGGUUACCUAUAAUCAAUGAGGUUUAUAAAAUCGAGCAAUCAUUUAUAUAUGUAAGAAAUGAUAGGAAUAAAGUUUUAUAUCUUACUGAGAAUCCUUUGUAGUCAUGAGCUGGAUAUAGCAAUGUCUCUUUCGGUAAUGUAAAAAUCUGGAUCCAUGAAACAAAUAAGUCCAUAAAUUUUAUUCAAAUUUUGACAAUUACAAUAAAAUUUUGAGAACUCAAAGAAUGUGACCAUAAAAAGUCCCCUGUCCUUACCUGUGAAUGCACUGACUUGUAGAGUUGCUGUGAACUUCCACCCUGCAAAAUGCAUUAAUCAGUGCUAGUCAAUGGCUACUGAAUGUGGGAGCAUUAGAGAAAAUUAUCUUAAAAACUUAAGUAUAACAAAAUUAGACAAUGACAUCCAGAUGGAAAGAAAUUGCCAGCAUAUAAGACCAGCAUUUAUGUACUCACGACUGAAAAUCCUUUGCAAAAAGUAUAGCCCUGAUAGUUCAAACUUUUACUUCAAGGAUGAUUUAAUUACUGAUUAGUUUGCCAUGAGGCUUGUGAAUGACAAACACUUUAUGUGCAACCACAGUAACAAGGUAAGCACCAAUAAGUAGAAGACUAGACGAAUAGGUAACCAAGAGUUAGAGCUAAAACAGACAAACAGAGCUACUAUCCAAUGAGCUAAAACAUACAAACAGAGGUAUAUUUUAAUAAUGAAAAUAAUCGAUUGCCUUAAACACCAUAUAGUGUUCCAAUCAAUCAAAUUAUAGCAGGCAUUAAAACCUUUCCCUUUCGUUAAUUCACAACUAUUAGCUUCAUUAAUCAAAUCCUAUGUACAGUUGAUCGAUUGAAAGUGUAACAUUUCAAAGACGAAAUUUAAACGCAAAACUGGUUAACAUUGAAAUUACAUGUAAAUAUAACCUAAAAAAUCAAAAAAUUAAUCAUAUUUUCAGAUUUCAGGCCGAAAUGGAAUGAAAUGAAAGGUAAAUCCAUUUUUUCCCCAAAAAAACAAAAAUAAAGAAAUAAUAUUUCAAGAACAGAUCAUUAAAUUCAUGGUAUAUAUAAAGAAAUUUAAUUGAAAUCAAAGGAAUAGAAGAAGGGAAAAGCGUACUUGGAACCAUUGCUGCUACUCUCUGUUACUCUGUUACCUCAUACGAUUCGUUAAAGGGUUGUUAGGGUUUGUUAAAAGGUUGGUCAGGAUAGAAGCAUGAAAAGGAGGGAGAAGGUUGGAAGGAAAUGGGAAGAAAAAUGAAAAAAAGAAGAAGAUGCUGCAACGGCUUGGAGGGUAAAAGAGGACCGAUUAGGUAAUCCUUUCUUUUGGAAGGGAUUACAAAUCGGCGCUGCAUAAGGGAAAAUGGGGAAUCAGUGCGCUGCGUAAUAGGCCCGUAUUAAGGCAAUACAGCCAACCAAACAUGGUAAUCAGUGGGGCCACGAAUUAGGGGUGUAUUGGCUAAUCCAAUACACCCAACCAAACAUGCUCUAAAGGACAAAAAAAUUUGAUUUUUUAAAUAUUAUUUUCUCUCUAUUUUGCUAUCAUUUUACUAUUAUGUUGCUACUAUGUUAUUGUUAUUUUUGAAUAUUGUAUAAAACUUAUUUUAUUGUUAAUUUUGUUAUUAUUUUAAAGACAUUUGUUAAUUUUGUUAUUAUUUUAGAGACAUUUGUUUGUUAAGUUGCAUCUAUCUUAGUGUUAUUUAAGUAUACAUAUUUUUUAAAAUUUAUUUUCAAUUUAUUGGGAAAUAUUUAUUUUGAUGUUUUUAGUAUUUUGGAUGUAUUAUAUAUAUUAAAAUUAUAUAAAAAUUAAUAUGGCCGAGCCAGGUCAGGCCCAGAUUUUAGCAUUUUUAUUCAGGUCGGGCUUGAGCAAAAUUUUAAGCCCAUUUUUUGGGCCAAACCAGGCCUGGGCUUAGCAAAUGGGCCUAAAUUUUUAGUCAAGCUCGACCUAAACCCGAUCCGGCCCAUGCUCACCUCUAGAUCAGAGCUGCCCUCGCUUUGCAUUUCUUUGAGAUUCAGUCUUAUCUACUGUUGAUUGCCCACUCAAUGGAGGGUUGAGUAGAAAGAUUUGGUGAAGCAAGCUAAGCUAUCAAUCAAGGUUGGAGAAAGCUUAGGAGGUCACAAUGCAUAAUUAUUUAAAUGUAAUUCUAAUAUUUAAAUAAAAUUUAUUAAUAUAGUAUUAACAAGCCCUAAAUGUAAUGAUUAUAUACUAUUACAUUUUUAAGAAGAGAAAACAUGUUUGAACCUUAAAAACAUCAUUAUUAAAAAUGAUAAUUACAAAUUUUAAAAUAUAAAAAAUAUAAUUAAAAAUUAAUUUUAAACCCGAGCUGGAUAAAAUUCUAAUUUUAGAUAACGAUACUAAUAAGAAAUCAAUAUUAAAAUGAAAAUGAAAAGUAAUUUAAUAUAAUUUUUGAGUCUUGGGCAAAGGCACUCAAUGAAUGCUUGGAAAGAAAUAAUGCAACUUGGUGAUAGCUUUUGUUGGAGUAAUAUGCUCUUAUUAUAGUUUUAUGUUUUUAUCUUGCAAAAACAACAUAUUGGAGUUUUCGGCAUGAUUUUUUCUUAAUACUUUACAUGAAAAAUAAUAAUGGGACUUAAAUUGCUACAAUAUUACAACACAAAGUUACAAUAAGAGCUUAUAACUCAACAAAGGCUAUCAAUAAAUAAUCUCAGGCAAGCUAAAGAGAAAUGUUGAGAAUACCACCCGAAUAGUGACUGACUUUAAAAGUUGAAAACCCGAAGCUAUAUUAUCUCAAACGAAAUCAAACCAUAAACAUUAAAAUUUUCAAGUCUACUAGUUACUGUAAAAAAUUCAGCUCCAACAGACACCAAAUGAGCCUUUGAUCGAAGAAAGUACGAAAAAUAGUCUAGGUAAACCAAGCUUCCAAACUUACUUAUCUUAUCUUUAAUUUGCAGUGAAAUUCAAAAUUAAGAUUUUGUUUAUUUCACUUGGAACAACUUUCAAAAAAUUAUUUUUGAAAAAUGAAUUGGUUUUUCGAAAUAGAUGAUAUUUUAUUGUGUCAAAAUUUUAUUCAUUGUAGGAAAACUUUUUUUAAAUCAUUUUCUUAGAGUUAUUUUUAGUUAAAUAAACAUAACAUAAAUAUAUUUGUUACAAAAAAUUAUACUAGUAUUUUCUUUUGACAAUUAAAAUUUAUUUUAUGGUAAGACAAUAUUUUAUAAUAAUUAAUAUCAUAUAUAUACGUAAUAAAAAUCAUGUUUAAUUAAAAUUUAAUUAAAAUUAGAUGUAUUAAUAAAGCUACUCCUCCACAACCCGCAUCCGCAACAGCACCAGCACCAGCACCAGCACCAGCAUCAGCACCAUGGGACAACUAUUGGGUUUCCUCCACCUGCCUCUAUCGCUCCUCCUCAGUAUUACCCCCAAGCCUACCAGACCGUGCCGGGUAUUCUACAAAUAUGAAAAAACCUUCUUCUCUUUUUAUUAGCUUAUCGAAAUGAAGGAUUUUGAGAUUUGGGCUUUUGUUAGAUGGAUGGUUAAUGAUAUUUUUUAGAUGAAAGAUACAAGUUUUUUAAUGUUUUAGAAGAAAAGGUGUUUAAAUAUUAGGAGUUUUUUAGCAGAGAAAGAAGAUAAAUAAAUGCAUAGAGAUACAUUAGCAAUAUUAUUUGGAUUUGGUUGUCUAAUGUAAUGAAGAAUUUUUUAAGGGUGACCUGAGUAGGUGUGGCAAGAUUCAAAGUUUUUUCUAUUAUAGCAGAUAUAUAUAUAUUAAUGGUUUAAGAAGACUAGAAGUCGGUUUCAAAGGAAGAUGAGAAAUAAAAGCAUUUAUAUAUAUGAUAUGUCAUUAAUUCAUAAACCAAAUAUAUAAAGUAUGUAAAAGUGUCAGGGGUUAAUCAUGGUGUUUUGACAAUCCGGUAACCUUCAACUUGAAGAAAACCUUAGGUUUCAAAAAUUUAUGUGAAGAGUUAGAAUGGUAUGCUUCAUGGAUCUGAAUAACUAGAACAGUGUAAGAGUGGUAUAUUGUGUCAAGUUUGGUUUCUUGUAUAUAAUUGUAUCGAAAACAAUGUUACAUGAGUUAAAAUGAAUGUUCAUCCAAUUUAACAAAGCCUGCAUUAUGUUGAUCAAAAUUUUUAAUUCAUGUUGAGGUUUCUUCCGUGAUAUCUUUGAUGUCAAGGUUAUGAUGUUGCUGAAGGGACACCUGUAAGAGAUAAGCCACCGUGCUGUGGCAUUGGAUUCGGAUGGUUCUUGUAAGUGUACAUAGUUUUCUUUGUUUUUAAAGAGUUCUUUACAUAUGAAGUAAAACAAGUAGCGACUUGAUGGAUAUGUCAUUAAGCUUUAACUUAAGCAAAUCAUUUUCCUUCAUCUCUAAUUGCCAUUUCUUUAAAAGAAAAAGAGGAAGUUUUGUAGUUUACAGUUUGGACAAAUGGAAGUUAAUAUAAUGCACUAUUUGGAUGGACUAUGGAGAUAUCCAAUCAUAUUGGAUGAGUUAUAAGAAACCUGUGAGUUCAUAUUGGGUUUACUUUAUAUCAUAAUUAGAUUGUUGAGCUGGCUGUCAUACUUAGAUGGUAUUUCACGUUGCUACUUGUUAAACUAUACCACUUUCACAUUCAUACGUGAAAUGGCUGGGAUUUAGUGCCAUUCUACUUAGCAGCCUCGUGUAAUACACAGGUGAAAUGUUUAUGUCUUCAUGUCACCUUAAAGUUCCCAUUUCCAUGACGGUAUUGUUAAGUAAAGACUGGUACAUACCCCAAAAUACGGAAAUUGUUUUGGAUGUAUACUAUACUUUACCAUGCAUGAUUUUUUACAAGUUUGCAUGGUAUUUUAUCAUUAUAUUGGUCUUUAUUUUCUAUACUCGCAGCUUCCAUUAAUAUAUUUUUAUGAAUUUUAUCAUUAUGCUGGUUUGAAGGUUCAUCAUUGGUUUCUUCAUUGGGGGCCAUCCCUGGUAUAUUGGAUUCUUUGUUUUACUUUGUGCAAGGAUAGACGACAGAGAGAAAGCAGGAUAUAUUGCAUGCACAAUUGCCGUGAGUAUCUUUUCUAUCAUUAUUUUUUUCUUUUCCAAUUUUAUGAAAGCCAUCCUUCCUGCCUUGUAUUGAUCAUCAAUUUAACCAUUAUAUAUAUGUAUCUUAUGUAUUUGUACCAUGCUUUAUCUUCAAUGCAAAUAUAAGUUAAACUACAAAGAUUGGAUUGUUAAAAAAAGUUUAAAAUGUUAAAAAAAUUGAAAAUUUUGAUUUUGUAAGAAUGAUAGAAAACCAAGGCCAGUGCUUGCAUAUGUUAUCUACUACAUGCACAAUCGGGUCGAUGUCUGUAUAUGUUUCAUGUUUAGAAAUCGUGUUCAAUUGGGUUACGAUAUGUACAAUUGAAGUGUCAAUUUAUAAUUUCCUUAUCAAGAUUACACAUUUUUUUGUUAAUAUUCGGAAUCACUCAAUGGUUAUAAACCCUGAUUGGAUACUGUCCACAAAGUCUAGUUGGAACAUCCCUUGUAUUCUUUGUCCUUUCUAAGAACUUUCCUUUCCAUCAUUCUCGCUUCUGUUUUUUUUUUCUUCCCUCUACUUUAAGUCAUUAUCUAACGUAGAUAUCCCUUGUAUUCUUUGUCCUUUCUAUGGCAAUCGAGUCAAUUGAUGGCAAGCCAAAAAAACAAAAAGAGCAGCUAUCCUGUCUUACUCGAUUGCCAUCCCUCCUGUUAAACACCAUUAAGAAAAGGAAAAUUUUAGUUAAGCUUUAAAACAGCCAUGUUUUAACGAUGUUGGUGAUGGUGCUUGUGCAGGCCCUUCUUGCUACAAUUACAAUUAUUCUUAGUGCAACAAUUAAAGCUGGUGGGUGAUAAAGCACACCUCUUUUGACUGAGAGAUGUAUAGGUUCCCAAAUAAUAUGUAUAUGCUCCCCCCCCUCCCUUUAUUUUAUUUUAUUUCCAGUAAGUUAUUGUUUAUGAUAAUUUGCAACAAAUGUUUUUGUCAUUAUUUUGUUGGUGAAUGAUAAUAAGAUUAAGCUUUACUUUCUUAAGCUCCAAUUCCUUGGACGUUGGUGAUUUUUUUAUUAUAGUUGAGUCAUUGUAUGGUAUUAAUAUAAUUUAUGUCGCUUAAAAUUUAUAACUAAAAAUAUAAAAUUUAAAUUUUACUUCAAUUUAUUUGUAUUUAUAAAUGGUUAAUUCAAACUUAUUUUUUUCCUCAUUAUAUUUUAUAUUUAAAUUAACAUUUAAACUAUUUUUCAUUAGCAAUGUUGUUAAGAAUUAUAUUUUUUAGCACCAACAUCAAACUUACUAAAAUUAAAUUUUUAACUAUUUAAAAAAAAUAUUUUUAGCUAUUUAUCAUCAUAGAGAAAAAAAGGUGACGUCACCACGCCUCAUGCUUCGACACCACAAACUAGACUCUCAUCACCCGUAUUUAUCAUCGAUUCAAAUUCCAGAACUACCUAAAAAUAUAUCUUCAAACUUCCUCUGGUUAAGUUCAUUGAUAGUCAACUUACUAUCAUUUCUAAAAAAAAAACAAAUAAAUUGGUUAAUAGUAAUCUCAAUGAUUCAAUUUUAUUCUUACCAGUAUCUGUCCUUUAGAAAGGGGCUUAUAAAAGGGGUAGAGGUGAGUAAACUUGAGCUUCAGCUUUCCACAAACACCUUAAUUUGAAGACACAGUUCUCUCAUACUAAAAAAGACAUGGAAGUUUACCUUGUAAUUAGAGAUUUGGUUUCAUUGCUUGUUGUUGGGUUAUUAAUGAUAUGGGGAUGCAGAACUUUAAACUGGGUAUGGCUGGCCCCAAAAAGGCUCGAAAGCUGCUUGAGACAACAGGGUUUUGCAGGGAAUCCUUACAGGUUCCUUUCUGGUGACAUAAAAGAGCUCUCAACUAUGAGCAGACAAACAAGAGCCAAACCUAUGCCUCUUAGUGAUGAUAUUGGGCCUUAUGUUGUUCCUUUUCAACAUCAAACUGCUAACCAGUAUGGUAUGUUUUUUUUGUUUAAUCUGCAAUUUAUGAUAAUUCUUUGUUAUUUAUGUAUGGAAUUUAUUGGGAGGAAAUGCAGGAAAGAAUUCAUUUACGUGGUUUGGUCCAAGACCAAGGGUGAACAUUACGGACCCUGAAAAAAUAAGAGAAAUACUUAACAAAUUUAAUGACUUCCAGAAGAUACAUACCAAUCCACUGCUUAAUUUGCUUGUAAGCGGCCUUGCUAACCUCGACGGAGACCGAUGGAGCAAGCGUAGAAAAAUCAUAAACCCUGCAUUUCAUCAAGAUAAGUUGAAGGUAUAGAAUAGUGAUGGGUAAUCAGACUUUACAGAAAACAUCAUACUUAAACCUAUGCUUUUCUGAUUUAGAAAUAAUUGGAUGCAGAAUAUGUUGCCAGCAUUUUAUCAAAGUUGUAGUGACAUGUUAAGCAAAUGGGAGAAGAUGGUGUGUACAAAAGGAUACAGUGAGUUAGAUGUGUGGCCUUAUCUCGUAGAUUUGACAAGAGAUGUGAUUUCCCGAUCUGCUUUUGGAAGCAGCUUCGAAGAAGGCAAACGAAUUUUCCAAUUACUAGAGGACCAACUCGUUCACAUAAUCAAAUUAAUACAAACUGUUUACAUUCCAGGAUGGAGGUAACCGUCAACUUAAUUUACUUGAAAAAGGUUGCAAAUGUUGGAAUUCGCUAAAUUCGUGUUUGUUUUCUUGAAGGUUUUUGCCAACGAAGACAAACAGGGAGAUGAAGAUGAAACACAGGGACAUAAAAGAGUUGCUUAUGGAAAUGAUAAAGAGAAGGGAGAAGGCAAUUAAAGCAGGGGAAGAGAGCAAUGAGGACUUGUUGGACAUACUUGUGGAAUCCAAUAUCAGAGAAAUGGAAGCAAAGAAUAUUGGGAUGAGCAUUGAGGAUGUGAUUGAGGAAUGCAAGCUGUUUUACUUAGCUGGCCAAGAGACCACUUCGGUCUUACUGGUGUGGACUAUGGUUUUAUUAGCAAGGUAUCCCGAUUGGCAAAGUAAAGCAAGAGAGGAGGUUUUGCAUGUUUUGGGUGACAGUAAACCUGACGCUGAUGGCCUUAAUCGUCUCAAAGUUGUAAGUCCCUAGCAUGUCUUUUGAAGGUCCGAUCAAUGAGGUCGACAACUCAAAAACUUUGUUUCUUUUUUCGCUAAUUCUACAGGUAACAAUGAUAUUGUACGAGGUUCUAAGGCUGUACCCACCGGUGGUUGAGCUAGAACGUUCCGUUCCAAAAGAAAUAAAACUGGGGAAUUUGUUGUUACCAGUAGGAACAGAAGUUUCGGUUCCGAUCCUGCUGAUCCACCAUGACAAAGAUCUUUGGGGCGAUGACGCACGGGAAUUUAAGCCAGAGCGGUUCGCGGAAGGGGUUUCCAAAGCAACAAAGAGUCAAGUCACGUUUCUGCCAUUCGGAUGGGGUCCUAGGAUCUGUAUUGGCCAAAAUUUUGCUAUGAUGGAAGCCAAAAUGGCGAUGGCUAUGAUUCUCCAACGCUUCUGGUUCGAGCUUUCCCCUUCCUAUGCUCACUCUCCUUACGGCAGGGCAACUCUUCGUCCACAGCAUGGUGCACAGAUAAUUUUACAUAAACUUGGCUGUAAUUGAAUUGUUAUGUAAACAAAUCUUUGUGAAAACAUAGCGUUUUAGUUUAUCGUCAAAGUCCGGUGUCUGUAAUGGUACAAAUUCGAUGCAUGAAUAGUAAAGUUUGAGAUGUUUGGUGAAGUCCGAAAUAAUAUGCAGAAAUUGAGUGUGGUAAUUAUCAAUCAAAUAAUUCGGUACAAAGACUUACAUGGAAAUUAAAGCAGGGGGAGUUGAAAAUGACUACUCUGCUUUGGGCAUCAAUUUAGAAAGAUUUAAAGUACAAAUGUGUUAUUAGUUAAGGGAUUUGUUUUAAAGAGGGAAUGACAAUUAAACCUCAUGGUUGAUUUGUGGAAGGGAACCGAUGAUGGGAUGAUUAUUCUUAGUGGUAAAAAAAACUAUUGUGGAGGUUAUUAUACUUGUUAUCAUCGGCUUAAAAUUCGAAUGGGUUCAAGUCGGAUUAUAUCGAGCUUGUAAGAUGAGUUCACGGAUCAAAUUUGCAUAAUAAAAAUACUUAAAUGAAAAAAAUUUCUAUUUUAGAGGGACCAGAGCCCCUACCAAUUCCCGGCUCAGCUACUAAACAAUACCCAUAUCAUAUAAAUAAAUACCACCAUAAAAAAAACUCAAAGAAAAACACUGACAAAUGAUAAAUAGAUAGAUGUUGGAUAAGUGUCCAAAAUAUGAUUUAAGUGAAGAUACAUGGGGUAGGUGUCACGGAAAUGUGAAUACAAGAAUACUACUAAUGGGAUGUGUACAGUUGAAUGUAGGGAGCAAAAAGAGGAGUGAAUCAUUUUGGUAACAUUGGGACAAGAAACAUAAUGAACAAAAUGGAAGGAGAGGAAGCUAGUAAAAGAAAUUUUUUGGGUCAUAUAAUUUGUUUGGCAUAUAUUUUUAUAAUUUUUAAAUAUCAUUUUGGACUUGAAUUAUAAUUUUUUUAUAUAUUAUCUUAAAAUUGUAUAAAUUUUAAGGAGUUAAAACAAAAUUAUUCUAUUUUUAGAUGGUUAAAGUAGAGAUGAUAAUGGGUUGAGCUAUUCGGCCCAGCCUGACGAUCCACCCGAAAAAUAGGAAGGUUUGGGUAAAAAUAUAGGCUUGAAAUAUGAAUUUGAGCAAAAAAAGAGGCCCGUUUAGAAAAUGGGCCGAGCCUCGGGUAAAACCUUUUGGGUCUAGACCUGACCUAAAUUAUAUAUUAAAUAUAUAUAUUUUUAUUUUUAAUCAAAUAUACUUUUGUUUUAUUAUUAAUUUGGUUAUUAUUUUAGUUCUAAUUUGUUUCAAUUUUAAUAUAACUACUUUUUAUUAUAUUUUCAAUUUGUGCAUUGUUUUAAGAAUUAUUUUAGUCUCAUUAUUUAUUUAUUUUUUAUUUUAAUAUUUGUUUUAAAAUUUUUUAUUUAUUGAAAUAAGCUAAAAAAAUUAAUAUGGGUUGGACCAGACCGGGCUCGGGCCUAGUAAUUUUCUUUUGGGCCGGACUUAAACAAAUUUUUAAGCCCAUAUUUUGAAUUGGGUCCUACACUAGAAAAUGGACCUAAAAUUUUGUAUUACCUUUAGGUCAGAGCUAUCCUCGUUUUGCAUUUCUUUGAGAUUCAGCCUUAUUUACUUUUGAUUGCCCACUCAAUAGAGGGUUGAGUAGAAAUAUUUGGUGAAGCAAGCUAAGCUAUCAAUCAAGGUGUGCAUAAUUAUUUAAAUGUAAUUCUAAUAUUAAAAUAAAAUUUUUAUUAAUAUAGUAUCAACAAGCAUUAAAUGUAAUCAUCAUAUACUAUUAAAUUUUCAAUAAGAGAAAACAAGCUUGAACUUUAAAAACGAUGUUACUAAAAACAUUAUCACAAAUCUUGAAAUAUAAAAAAUACUUUUUAAUAUAAUAAAAAAAUAAUUUUAAAACCGAGAUGAAUAAAAUUCUAAUUUUAAUUAAUGAUACCAACAACAAAUCAAUAUUUAAAUUAAAAUUUAUCUUAAUUUAAUAUAAUAAAAUUGGACUUGAAUAUUGAAUUUUUGAGUCUUGGGCAAAGUAGAGGUGCUCAUGGGCCGGGUUGGGUCGGGUUUGGGAAAAAUUUCGGCCCGCAUCCUAGGCUCGGGCUCGGCCCGACCCAAAUAUGGGCCUAAAAUUUUGUCUAGGCCUAGCCCGGCCCGGCCCAACUCAUUUUUUUUAAUAAACACCAAAAAUUUAUUUUGAAAAUAAAAAAAUAAAAAAAGUAUUUUAAAAAUAUUUUAAAAUUUUUAAAAAAUAUAUAUAUUUAUUAUAUAUUCGGGCCGGGCCAGGCCCGAGCCAAAAAAGUGGCGCCCAAGGCCCGGCCUGUUUUCUAAACGGGACUCAUUUUUUACCCAAACCCAUAUUUCGGGCCUAUAUUUCUACCCGAAUCUCUCAUAUUUAGGGCGAACCGUCGGGCCGGACCGGGCCGCCCGGCCAUGAACACCUCUAGGACAAAGUCACUCAAUGAAUGCAUGGAAAGAAAUAAUGCAACUUGGUGAUAGCUUUUGUUGGAGUUAUAUGCUUUUUUUUUACGUAGUGGAACUUUCGGUGGAUUUUCAAGUUUCAUGAACUUUAUACUCUAUGCUUUACGUGAAAAAAAAAAUUCAUUGGACUUAAAAGUCUACCAAAAGUUUCACUAAAAAAAAAACCAUUGCUACAAGAUUACAACAUAAAGUUACAAUAAGAGCUUAUAACUCAACAAAGGCUAUCAAUAAAUAAUCUCAAACAAAUUAAAGAGAAAUGUUGAGAGUACCACUCGAAUAGUGAUUAACUUUAAAAAUUGAAAACCCAAAGUUAUAAUAUCCCAAACGAAAUCAAACCAUAAACAUUAAAUUUUUCGAGUCUACUAGAUACUGCAAAAAAUUCAGCUCCAACAGACACCAAAUGAACCUAUGAUCGAAGAAAAUACGAAAACUAGUCUAGCUAAAUCAAGCUGCCAAACUUACUUUUUAUCUUAUCUUUAAUUUGCUGUGAAAUUCAAAACUAAGGUUUUGUACUUAGAACAACUUUCAAAAAGUUAAUUUUGAAAAAUGGAUUGAAUUUUCAAAAUAGAUGAUAUUUUAUUGUGUUAAAAUUUUAUUCGUUGUUUGAAAAAAAAUUUAAAUCAUUUUCUUAGAAUUAUUUUUAGUGAAACAAACAUAUCAUAAAUAUAUUUGUUAUAAAAUAUUUAUAUUAAUAUUUUCUUUUAACAAUUAAAAUAUAUUUUGUGAUAAGGUAUAUUUUAUAAUAAUUAAUAUCAUAUAUACUUAAUAAUAAAUCAUGUCUAAUUAAAAUUUAAUUUCAAUUAAAUAUAUUAAUAAAGCUACAUAUAAUCAUAUUUUAUAUAAUAAAAAUAUUAAUAUAAAUAUUUUUUUAAUAAUAUAUUAAAGAAUAUUUAAAAUUUAAAUUUAUUAUUACUAAGAUUAAUUAUUAAAAUAAAAAUGUAAUGUUAAAUAAUUUAUCCAAUGAUAAGUUAUAUUAAUAAUUUAUUAUAUUAUUAAAUAUAAAUAAUUAAAUAUGUAUGUUUAAUAAUAUUAUGUUAUAAUAUUUAUUAUUAAUAUUUUAAUAUUUUUAAACAACCAUGUUUUAAAGAUGGUGGUGAUGGUGAUGGUGCAGGCCCCCUUGUUACAAUUACAAUAUUUUUAAGUGGGAUGCAUGUAAUAUAUUGUUAGGGUUUUAGAGUGUGUGGUCUUUAAAAGGGUUAAAUUAUAUAUUUAUAUAAUAUGAUUAUUGUUUAUAAAUAUAAUAUUGUAGAUAAACUUUUAUGCAUGUCAAUAUGUAUCCUACUCUGGGGUUAAUAUGUAUUUUUAGAUAUGGAUUCACCUAUAUAAUAGUAUGAAUCCAUCAUGCGGUCUCAUGAAAUAUACAAACACAUAUCGUGCGAACACAAAGUACGAACAAUAAAAAGUACAAAUCAAGACCAAUUGAGUAAUUGAAUAGCAGAUAGGUAAUAAUGACUAUCCCCUCUUGUUUGAAUUUAUUUUAUUUCCAGUGAGUUAUCGUUUAUGAUAAAUUUACAACAAAUGUUUUUAUCAUUAUUUUGUUGGUAAAUGAUAAUAAGAUUAAACUUUACUUUCUUAAGCUCCUUCAAUUCUUUGGACGUUAGCAAGUAAACUUGAGCUUCAGCAUUCCACAAACACCUUAAUUUGAAGACACAGUUCUCCCAUACUAAAAACAACAUGGACGUUUACCUUGUAAUUAGAGAUUUGGGCUCAUUGUUAGGUUAUUAAUGAUACGGGGAUGGAGAGCUUUAAACUGGGUAUGGCUGGCCCCAAAGAGGCUCGAAACGUGCUUGAGACUAGAGGUCCAGGCAAAUUUUUAGGCCCAUUUUUUAGGCCUGGACUGGGCCCGACUCGAAAUAUGAGCUUAAAAAUUUGUCUAAGUUCGGUCCAAAAGAAAAUUGUUAAGCCUAAGCCCGGCCCAUAUUAAAUUUUACAACACCAAAAAACUAUAUAUUUAAUAUAUAUAUUUGAUUAAAAAGUAUAUUUAAUUAAAAAUAAAAAUAUAUAUUUAAUAUAUAAUUCGGGCCGGGCCGAACUCGGGCCAAAAAAGUUUUACUCGGGGCUGGUCCGUUUUCUAAACAGACCUCGUUUUUUUGUCAAAAUCCAUAUUUUAGGCUUAUAUUUUUACCCGAAACUUCCUAUUUUUCGGGUGAACCGUCAGGCCGGACUAGGUAGCCCAACCAAUGAUCACCUCUACUUGAGACAACAGGGUUUUGCAGGGAAUUCUUACAGGUUCGUUUCUGGCGACAUAAAAGAGCUCUUCACUAUAAGCAUACAAACAAGAGCCAAACCUAUGCCUCUUAGUGAUGAUAUUGGGCCUUAUGUUGUUCCUUUUCAACAUCAAACCGUCAAUCAGUAUGGUAUGUUUUUUAAUUUAAUCUGCAAUUUAUGAUAAUUCUUUGCUAUUUAUGUAUGGAAUUUAUUGGGAGGAAAUGCUGGGAAGAAUUCAUUUACGUGGAUUGGUCCAAGAUCAAGGGUGAACAUUACGGACCCGGAAAAAUAAGAGAAAUACUUAACAAAUUUAAUGACUUCCAGAAGGUACGUACCAAUCCACUGCUUAAUUUGCUUGUAAGCGGCCUUGUUAACCUCGAAGGAGACCGAUGGAGCAAGCAUAGAAAAAUCAUAACCCUUCAUUUCAUCAAGAUAAGUUGAAGGUAUAGAAUAGUGAUGGGUACUUAGACUUAAUUUACAGAAAACAUCAUACUUAAAUCUAUGCUUUUCUGAUUUAGAAAUGAUUGGAUGCAGAAUAUGUUGCCAGCAUUUUAUCAAAGUUGUUGUGACAUGUUAAGCAAAUGGGAGAAGAUGGUGUGUACAGAAGGAUACAGUGAGUUAGAUGUGUGGCCUUAUCUUGUAGAUUUGACAAGAGAUGUGAUUUCCCGAUCUGCUUUUGGAAGCAGCUUCGAAGAAGGCAGACGAAUUUUCCAAUUACUAGAGGACCAACUCGUUCUCACAAUCAAAUUAAUACAAACUGUUUACAUUCCAGGAUGGAGGUAACCCUCAACUUAAUUUACUUGAAAAAGGUUGCAAAUGUUGGAAUUGGCUAAAUUCGUGUUUGUUUUCUUGAAGGUUUUUGCCAACAAAGACAAACAGGGAGAUGAAGAUGAAACACAGACAUAAAAGAGUCGCUUAGGGAAAUGAUAAAGAGAAGGGAGAAGGCAAUUAAAGCAGGGGAAGAGAGCAAUGAGGACUUGUUGGACAUACUUGUGGAAUCCAAUAUCAGAGAAAUGGAAGCAAAGAAAAAGGGGAUGAGCAUUGAGGAUGUGAUUGAGGAAUGCAAGCUGUUUUACUUUGCUGGCCAGGAGACCACUUCGGUCUUGCUGGUGUGGACUAUGGUUUUAUUAGCAAGGUAUCCCGAUUGGCAAAGUAAAGCAAGAGAGGAGGUUUUGCAUGUUUUGGGUGACAGUAAACCUGAUGCUGAUGGCCUUAAUCGUCUCAAAGUUGUAAGUCCCUAGCAUGUCUCUUGAAGGUCCGAUCUCUGAGGUCGACAACUCAAAAACUUGGUUUCUUUGUUUCGCUAAUUCUACAGUUAACAAUGAUAUUGUACGAGGUUCUAAGGCUGUACCCACCAGUGAUUGAGCUAGGACGUUCCGUUCCAAAAGAAAUAAAACUGGGAAAUUUGUUGUUACCAGCAGGAACAGACGUUUCGGUUCCAAUCCUGCAGAUCCACCAUGACAAAGAUCUUUAGGGCGACGACGCACGGGAAUUUAAGCCACAGCGGUUCACGGAAGGGGUUUCCUAAGCAACAAAGAGUCAAGUCACGUUUCUGCCAUUCGGAUGGGGUCCUAGGAUCUGCAUUGGCCAAAACUUUGCCAUGAUGGGAACCAAAAUGGCGAUGGCUAUGAUUCUCCAACGCUUCUGGUUCGAGCUUUCCUCUUCCUAUGCUUACUCUCCUUACAACAUGGCAACUCUUCGUCCACAGCAUGGUGCACAGAUAAUUUUACAAAAACUUGGCUGUAAUUGAAUUGUUAUGUAAACAAAUCUUUGUGAAAAUAUAGUGUUUUAGUGUAUCGUCAAAGUCUGCCUGUAAUGGUACAAUUCCGAUGCAUGAAUAGUAAAUCUUGAGAUGUUUGGUGAAGUCCGAAAUAAUAUGCAGAAAUUGAGUGUCUUGAAUGGAUGUAGUAUUUAAUGGUGGACAUAGUUGAGGGACUAAUGUGGUAAUUAUCAAACAAAUAAUUGCAUAUGGUACAAAGACUUGUAUGGAAAUUAGAGCAGGGCGAGUUGAAAAUUACUACUUUGCUUCGGGCAUCAAUUUAGAAAGAUUUAAAGUACAAAUGUAUUAUUAGUUUAAGGGAUUUGUUUUAAAGAAGGAAUGACAAUUAAACCUCAUGGUUGAUGUGUGGAAGGGAACCAAUGAUGGGAUGAUUACUCUUAGUGGUAAAAAAAAAAACUAUUAAGGUGGUUAUUAUAGUUGUUAUCACCGGCCCAAAAUUCGAAUAGGUUCAGGUCGGAUUAUAUUGAGCUUGUAGAUGAGUUUGCAUGAUAAUAGGUGUUCACAGAAAGAUAUCUAUAGUUUCCUACAAAGUCACAUGUGAGAUCGUGCAUUGGGACCGCAUAAAAAUGUUUUAUGUUUAGAAUAUGAUACGUGUCUAUGUGUAUGGAAUCUACCUAAUAUAUCAUAUUAAUUAAUAGUAUCAAUUGCGGAGCCAAAAAAUUAUUUCUGAGGGGUCAGAAUUAAAUUGUAUAUUUUUACAAAAAUAAAAAUUAAAUUUCACUAUUUUAAUAGUUUAUUUCUUUUUAAUUUUUAAAUGAUUAAAUUAAAUUUUUAUAAAUUUUUGGGAUCAAAGUACAAUUUUAUCAUUUCUAAUUUAAAAUUUUAUAAAAUAUAAAAAGUUUAUAUGAAAAGUUUUCUAUUUUAGAGUGGCCAAAGCCCCUGCCAACUUCCGACUCGAUCACUAAACAAUAUAAAUAAAUAAAUACCACCAUCUAAAAGACUCAAGAAAAACACUCAACGAUAAAUAGAUAGAUGUUGGGUAAAGAUACGUUUGGAUGGGCGGUGCGUUUACUUGCGGUUAGUAUAAAAAUAGCGGUGGCGGUUAGAUUAGAUACUAUAGCAACACUGUAGCGUAAGACAAAAAAUAAGCUAAACGUACUGCACUGCACUUAAUCGCCCAUCCAAACUCACCCUAAGUGUACAAAAUAUGAUUUAAGUGAAGAUACGUAGGGUAGGUGUCAUGGAAAUGUAAAAGACAAGAAUCCCACUAAUGUAUGGGAUGUGUACAGCUGAAUGUAGGGAGCAAAGAGGAGUGAAUCAUUUUGGUAACAUUUGGACAAGAAACAUAAUGAACAAAAUGAAAGGAGAGGAAGCUAGUAAAAGAUUUUUUUGAGUUAUAUAAUUUGUUUGGCAUAUAUUUUUAUAAUUUUUAAAUAUCAUUUUGGAGUUGAAUUAUAAUUUCUUUUUAUGUUUUAAAACAUAAUUAUUCUAUCUUCAAAGGGUUAGAGUAGAGGUGAGCAUGGGUCGGGCUACUCGGCCCGAAAUGUGAGAGAUUUGGGCAAAAAUAUAGGCUCAAAAAAUGGACUUGGACAAAAAAAUAUAAGACCCGUUGAAAAAUGGGCCGGGCAUUGGGUAAGGCAUUUUUGGCCCUGGGCCCGGCCCAAUCCUAAUUCACUAAAGGACAAAAAAAAUUUGAUUUUUAAAUAUUAUUUUCUUCCUAUUUUGCUACCAUUUUACUAUUAUGUUGCUACUAUUUUGUUGUUAUUUUUUGGAUAUUGUAUAAAACUUAUUUUAUUGUUAAUUUUGUUAUUAUUUUAAAGACAUUUGUUAAUUUUGUUAUUAUUUUAGAGACAUUUGCUUGUUAAGUUGUAUCUAUCUUAGUGUUAUUUAAGUGUACAUAUUUUUUAAAAUUUAUUUUCAAUUUAUUGGGAAAUAUUUAUUUUGAUGUUUUUAGUAUUUUGGAUGUAUUAUAUAUAUUAAAAUUAUAUAAAAAUUAAUAUGGCCGAGCCGAGUCAGGCCCAGAUUUUAGCAUUUUUAUUCAGGUCGGGCUUGAGCAAAAUUUUAAGCCCAUUUUUUGGGCCAAACCAGGCCUGGGCUUAGCAAAUGGGCCUAAAUUUUUAGUCAAGCCCGACCUAAACCCGAUCCGGCCCAUGCUCACCUCUAGAUCAGAGCUGCCCUCGCUUUGCAUUUCUUUGAGAUUCAGUCUUAUCUACUGUUGAUUGCCCACUCAAUGGAGGGUUGAGUAGAAAGAUUUGGUGAAGCAAGCUAAGCUAUCAAUCAAGGUUGGAGAAAGCUUAGGAGGUCACAAUGCAUAAUUAUUUAAAUGUAAUUCUAAUAUUUAAAUAAAAUUUAUUAAUAUAGUAUUAACAAGCCCUAAAUGUAAUGAGUAUAUACUAUUACAUUUUUAAGAAGAGAAAACAUGUUUGAACCUUAAAAACAUCAUUAUUAAAAAUGAUAAUUACAAAUUUUAAAAUAUAAAAAAUAUAAUUAAAAAUUAAUUUUAAACCCGAGCUGGAUAAAAUUCUAAUUUUAGAUAACGAUACUAAUAAGAAAUCAAUAUUAAAAUGAAAAUGAAAAGUAAUUUAAUAUAAUUUUUGAGUCUUGGGCAAAGGCACUCAAUGAAUGCUUGGAAAGAAAUAAUGCAACUUGGUGAUAGCUUUUGUUGGAGUAGUAUGCUCUUAUUAUAGUUUUAUGUUUUUAUCUUGCAAAAACAACAUAUUGGAGUUUUCGGCAUGAUUUUUUCUUAAUACUUUACAUGAAAAAUAAUAAUGGGACUUAAAAAUCUAUCAAAAGCUUCACCAUAAUAAUAAUAAUAAUAAUAAUAAUAAUAAAUUGCUACAAUAUUACAACACAAAGUUACAAUAAGAGCUUAUAACUCAACAAAGGUUAUCAAUAAAUAAUCUCAGGCAAGCUAAAGAGAAAUGUUGAGAAUACCACCCGAAUAGUGACUGACUUUAAAAGUUGAAAACCCGAAGCUAUAGUAUCUCAAACGAAAUCAAACCAUUAACAUUAAAAUUUUCAAGUCUACUAGCUACUGUAAAAAAUGCAGCUCCAACAUACACCAAAUGAGUCUUUGAUCGAAGAAAGUACAAAAACUAGUCUGGGUAAACCAAGCUGCCAAACUUACUUAUCUUAUCUUUAAUUUUGCAGUGAAAUUAAAAAUUAAGUUUUUGUUUAUUUCACUUGGAACAACUUUCAAAAAAUUAUUUUUGAAAAAUGGAUUGGUUUUUCGAAAUAGAUGAUAUUUUAUUGUGUUAAAAUUUUAUUCGUUGUUGGAAAACUUUUUUUAAAUCAUUUUCUUAAAGUUAUUUUUAGUGAAACAAACAUAACAUAAAUAUAUUUGUUACAAAAAAAUUAUAUUAGUAUUUUCUUUUGACAAUUAAAAUUUAUUUUAUGAUAAGACAAUAUUUUGUAAUAAUUAAUAUCAUAUAUAUAUACGUAAUAAAAAAAUCUUGUUUAAUUAAAAUUUAAUUAAAAUUAAAUAUAUUAAUAAAGCUACAUAUAAUCAUAUUUUUUAUAAUUAAAAUAUUAAUAUAAAUAUUUUUCAAUAAUAUAUUAAAAUAUUAAAAUUUAAAUUAUUAUUACUUAAAUUAAUUAUUAAAAUAAAAAAUUUAAUAUUAAAUAAUUUAUUCAAUGAUAAGUUUUAUUAAUAAUUUAUUGUAUUAUUAAAUAUAAUUAAUUAAAUAUGCAUAUUUAAUAAUAUUACGUUAUAAUAUUUUAAUAUUCUUAAACAGCCAUGUUUUUAAGAUGCUGGUGAUGGUGAUGCUGCGGGCCUCUCUUGUUACAAUUACUAUAAUUUUUUGUGCAAUAAUUGAAGUUGUUGGGUGGUCAAGCAAACCUCUUUUGACUGAGAUGCAUAUAAUAUACCCGCAUGUCCCCGCCUCCUAAAAUUUAAAUUUGUUAUUUGAAUCUUUAAAUUUUUUAAUAUAAUAUACCCGCAUGUCCCCGCCUCCUAAAAUUUAAAUUUGUUAUUUGAAUCUUUAAAUUUUUUAAAAAUUUUAAAUUCAUAAAAGUAAAAUUAUACUUUGACCCUCUAAAAUUAUAAAAAUUUAAUUAAUCUUUUAAAUUCAUUGGGCCCCUAAUAUAUUGUUCAGGCUUCACCCUUGAUACUGAUGUUGACUAUUUUAGAGUAUGUGUCUUCUUUAACAGGGUUAAAUUAUAUAUUUAUAUAAUAUAGUUAUUGUUUAUGGACGUGACAUCGUAACUAGGUUCUUAUGCAUGUCAACAUAUAUCCUAUUUUAAGGUUAACACGUAUUUUUAAAUGUGAAUUCACCUAUAUAAUGGUAUGAACCAUCAUGCAGUCUCAUAAAAUAUGCGAAUAUAUGUCGUGCGAACACAAAGUACAAUCCACACAGAAUACGAAUUAAGACCCAAUUGAAUAAUCGGAUACGAAUCAGUAAUAAUGAAUUUCAUAACAGCCACCAACCCCUCUUUUGUUUUAAUUUAUUUUAUUUCCAGUAAGUUAUUGUUUGUGAGAAUUCACAACAAAUGCUUUUGUCAUUAUUUUGUUGGUAAAUAAUAAUAAGAUUAAACUUUACUUUCUUAAGCUCCUUCAAUUCUUUGGAAGUUGGUGGUUUUUUAUUCUAAUCUUAUUUUUUUUAUUAAUUUCUUUUUUUAUAAUAAAUGUGUUUAUAGAUCAGGUUGGAUUAUAAUUGAAUCAUUGUCUGGUAUUAACAUAAUUUAAAUCGAUUAAAAUUUAUUCGACUGGAAAUAUAAAUUUAAAAUUUUACUUCAAUUUAUCUUAAUUUAUAAAUUGUGAAUUUAAAUUUAUUUAUUUUCUCUCAUUAUAUUCAGUUUUUCGGAUCAUAUUUGGCCCAGAACAAAAACUAGAACAAAAAAACAAAUAUAUAUGUUUUCCAAAAAUUAAAUUGUUAACUUUAAAAAAAUAUAUUUUUAGCUAUUUAUCAUCAUAGAGAAAAACAAAUAAGGUCACCUCGCCUUAUGCUUCAACACCUCAACCUAGAUUCUCAUCACCUGUAUUUAUCAUCGAUUCAGAUUUUUAUUUUUACUAUAUUCUAGAUCUACCUAUAAAUAUAUCUUCAAACUUCCUCUGGUUAAGUUCAUUCAUAGAUAGGUGAGUAAACUUGAGCUUCAGCUUCAACAAACACCUUAGUUUGCAAUUCUCUCAUACUAAAAAUAUGGAAGUUUACCAUGUAAUUAGAGAUUUGGUCUCAUUGCUUGUUGUUGGUUUAUUAAUGAUAUGGGGAUGGAGAGCUUUAAACUGGGUAUGGUUGGCCCCAAAGAGGCUCGAAAGGUGCUUGAGACAACAGGGUUUUGCAGGGAAUCCUUACAGGUUCCUUUCUGGUGACAUAAAAGAGCUCUUAACUAUGAGCAGACAAACAAGAGCCAAACCUAUGCCUCUUAGUGAUGAUAUUGGGCCUUAUGUUGCUCCUUUUCUUCAUCAAACUGUCAACCAGUAUGGUAUGUUUAAUUAUUAUUUAAUCUUCAAUUUAUGAUAAUUCUUUGUUAUUUAUGAAUGGAAUUUAUUGGGAGGAAAUGCAGGAAAGAAUUCAUUUACGUGGAUUGGUCCAAGACAAAGGGUGAACAUUAUGGACCCUGAAAAAAUAAGAGAAAUAUUUACCAAAUUUAAUGACUUCCAGAAGGUGCGUACCAAUCCACUGCUUACUUUGCUUGUAAGCGGCCUUGUUAACCUCGAAGGAGACCGAUGGAGCAAACAUAGAAAAAUCAUAAACCCUUCAUUUCAUCAAGAUAAGUUGAAGGUAUAGAAUAGUGAUGGGUACUUAAGACUUAAUUUACAGAAAACAUGAUACUUAAAUCUAUGCUUUUCUGAUUUAGAAAUGAUUGGAUGCAGAAUAUGUUGCCAGCAUUUUAUCAAAGUUGUUGUGACAUGUUAAGCAAAUGGGAGAAGAUGGUGUGUACAGAAGGAUACAGUGAGUUAGAUGUGUGGCCUUAUCUUGUAGAUUUGACAAGAGAUGUGAUUUCCCGAUCUGCUUUUGGAAGCAGCUUCGAAGAAGGCAGACGAAUUUUCCAAUUACUAGAUGACCAACUCGUUCUCAGAAUCAAAUUACUACAAACUGUUUACAUUCCAGGAUGGAGGUAACCCUCAAUUUACUUGAAAAAGGUUGCAAAUGUUGGAAUUGGCUAAAUUCGUGUUUGUUUCCUUGAAGGUUUUUGCCCACAAAGACAAACAGGGAGGUGAAGAUGAAACACAAAGACAUAAAAGAGUCGCUCAGGGAAAUGAUAAAAAGAAGAGAGCAGGCAAUUAAAGCAGGGGAAGAGAGCAAUGAGGACUUGUUGGACAUACUUGUGGAAUCCAAUAUCAGAGAAAUGGAAGCAAAGAAAAAGGGGAUGAGCAUUGAGGAUGUGAUUGAGGAAUGCAAGCUGUUUUACUUUGCUGGCCAGGAGACCACUUCGGUCUUACUGGUGUGGACUAUGGUUUUAUUAGCAAGGUAUCCCGAUUGGCAAAGUAAAGCAAGAGAGGAGGUUUUGCAUGUUUUGGGUGACAGUAAACCUGAUGCUGAUGGCCUUAAUCGCCUCAAAGUUGUAAGUCCCUAGCAUGUCUUUUGAAGGUCCGAUCAAUAAGGUCGACAACUCAAAAAUUUGGUUUCUUUUUUCGCUAAUUCUACAGUUAACAAUGAUAUUGUACGAGGUUCUAAGGCUGUACCCAUCAGCGACUGAGCUAGGACGUUCCGUUCCAAAAGAAAUAAAACUGGGAAAUUUGUUGUUACCAGCAGGAACAGAAAUUUCGGUUCCGAUCCUGCUGAUCCACCAUGACAAAGAUCUUUGGGGCGAUGACGCACGGGAAUUUAAGCCAGAGCGGUUCGCGGAAGGGGUUUCCAAAGCAACAAAGAGUCAAGUCACGUUUCUGCCAUUCGGAUGGGGUCCUAGGAUCUGCAUUGCCCAGAAUUUUGCUAUGAUGGAAGCCAAAAUGGCGGUGGCCAUGAUUCUCCAACGCUUCUGGUUCGAGCUUUCCCCUUCCUAUGCU
rnacentral:lncRNA from 1 species